rnacentral:rRNA from 1 species
AGAGUUUGAUCCUGGCUCAGAACGAACGCUGGCGGCGUGGAUAAGACAUGCAAGUCGAACGGGAUAUUUUCUAUAGCAAUAUAGGAAAUGUCUAGUGGCGGAAGGGUGCGUAACACGUGGGUAAUCUGCCGAAAAGUGGGGAAUAGCUCGCCGAAAGGCGGAUUAAUACCGCAUACGAUUAGCAAAAGCAUUUUUGCGACAUCAAAGCUGGGGCAACUUGGCGCUUUUCGAUGAACCCGCGGCCUAUCAGCUAGUUGGCGAGGUAAUGGCUCACCAAGGCGAUGACGGGUAGCUGGUCUGAGAGGACGACCAGCCACACUGGAACUGAGACACGGUCCAGACACCUACGGGUGGCAGCAGUCGAGAAUUUUUCUCAAUGGGGGAAACCCUGAAGGAGCGACGCCGCGUGGAGGAUGAAGGUCUUCGGAUUGUAAACUCCUGUCAUCAGAGAACAAGGGGCGCAUUAACUCUGCGUCUUGAUAGUACCUGAAGAGGAAGAGACGGCUAACUCUGUGCCAGCAGCCGCGGUAAUACAGAGGUCUCAAGCGUUGUUCGGAUUUAUUGGGCGUAAAGGGUGCGUAGGCGGCGGGGUAAGUGAGGUGUGAAAUCCCGGAGCUCA